rnacentral:rRNA from 1 species
AGCAGUCGCCGCGGGAAUACGUAGGUCCCGAGCGUUGUCCGGAUUUAUUGGGCGUAAAGCGAGCGCAGGCGGUUAGAUAAGUCUGAAGUUAAAGGCUGUGGCUUAACCAUAGUACGCUUUGGAAACUGUUUAACUUGAGUGCAAGAGGGGAGAGUGGAAUUCCAUGUGUAGCGGUGAGAUGCGUAGAUAUAUGGAGGAACACCGGUGGCGAAAGCGGCUCUCUGGCUUGUAACUGACGCUGAGGCUCGAAAGCGUGGGGCGCAAACAGGAUUAGAUACCCCAGUAGUCCCUGUCUCUUAUACA